rnacentral:rRNA from 1 species
UACAGAGGGGGCAAGCGUUGUUCGGAAUUACUGGGCGUAAAGGGCGCGUAGGCGGCCUUCUAAGUCGAACGUGAAAUCCCUCGGCUCAACUGAGGAACUGCCUUUGAAACUGUCUGGCUUGAGGCCGGGAGAGGGUAGCGGAAUUCCCAGUGUAGCGGUGAAAUGCGUAGAUACUGGGAGGAACACCGGUGGCGAAGGCGGCUACCUGGACCGGUUCUGACGCUGAUGCGCGAAAGCGUGGGUAGCAAACAGG